GCUGAUAUGUUAGUUAAAAAAAAAUAAUAUAAAAAAAAAUUUUCGUGUCCAGUUUUUUUGCGGCAGUAACAUCUUUACGUCCACAAUAACAUGCAUUGGAAAAUCAGCAGUUUUUUCAGGAAGGGGUGGCCUUGUUUGAAAUACAAAAAACAUUUAAUGUUACUACAUAAAUCGAAUUUUUAUUCCAAUGACAAGCAACAAUAUAUGUUCAAGUUUAACAAUGUUGGAAUUUUUUUUACAAUACUAAUAGUGAUCUAUUCUAUUUUUGGCAAUAAAUAAUGUAAAUAAAAAGUACGGGAAAACAUUGCUGAAAACAUAUUUUUGAUUUUUUUACUAAUAAGAAAUAACAAGAAAAUCUUAUUCCUUUACAAAAUUGAUGCUCCAUAGAGUCUUUUUCAAAAAGAAAAAAAAAAAAAUUAUGUUCGUGUGCAAAUUUUGAGUUAAAUCCAAAAUAAUUUUAUUUCACAAAAAAGUACGGGAAAAUGUAUGAUUUUUUGGUAUUUUGUACCAAUAAACAAGUUAUUUUUACUAAACCUCUACUAAAAUUUUUAAUUUACAAUUAAAAAAUCCAUAUUGAUUCAUAUAUAAAUGGUCUUGUACUGUUUUAAGUUUUUUUUUUCUCACAUUAAAUGGCAUCUUUUCCAACUAUAUAUCUUAUCAAUUUGAUAACAAAUUUUCAAAAAGCUAAAAAAUGUGACUAUGAGACACAUGAUAUCUCUAUCAUAUUUUCAUAUCAAUGUCUAAGCAGCUAAUGUAGGCCAGAUUAACUUAAUUCUGUAUCACCUAGGGUGUUAUAACUAAGUUCUAUAAUAUUUUGUACCAGCAAAAAAAAAAGGGGGGGGGGGGGCAAUCAUCAACAUGAAAUUUUCAAUCAACAGGCCAACAAAACAUCUCAUUGACCUAAAUGGAAAAAAAACAAUGCGGAAAAUUUUCUUUUGUCUAUUUUUAUAAUGAUUUUACAUGAUUCACACUUCGCCUACCCCAAAGAGAUGGAAUCCUCUGUCCCCCGGUCAAGGAUGGUAAGUCACUUAAUAUUGACCUAAUAAAAAAUUAACUUGAUCAUUGAACCAUAAAAAUGAGGUCAGGGUUGGAUGACAGGUGUCAGACUGACUUACCAGUACAUCUUACCAUGGGACGAAUCCAUAAUCAAAAUAUCAUUAACUUACAAGUAUAGUUACAAAGAAACAAGACCUUAUCCCAAAAUCUAAAUGUGGUCAGUGGACCAUGAAAAUGAGGUCAGGGUUGGGUGACAGCUAGGUGUUACACUGACUUGAGAACCUUCCCUUUAUCCCAUAGACAAAAUAAUAUUGACCUACUAAGUAUAGUUACUGAGUAACAGCAGGGACAAAACUUGAAAGUAGCCUAGUUGCUCAAAACUGACCUGAUCACAAAACUUUGAUAAAAGUUUACACUGCAGCC
rnacentral:lncRNA from 1 species